UACGUAGGGCGCAAGCGUUGUCCGGAAUUAUUGGGCGUAAAGAGCUCGUAGGUGGCUUGUCACGUCGGGUGUGAAAGCUUGGGGCUUAACUCCAGGUCUGCAUUCGAUACGGGCUGGCUAGAGGUAGGUAGGGGAGAACGGAAUUCCUGGUGUAGCGGUGAAAUGCGCAGAUAUCUGGAGGAAUACCGGUGGCGAAGGCGGCAUCCUGGACCGGCAUUGACGCUGAGGAGCGAAAGCCAGGGGAGCAAAGCGGG
rnacentral:rRNA from 1 species